GAUGAACGCUGGCGGUGUGCCUAAUACAUGCAAGUCGAGCGAACAGACGAGGAGCUUGCUCCUCUGACGUUAGCGGCGGACGGGUGAGUAACACGUGGAUAACCUACCUAUAAGACUGGGAUAACUUCGGGAAACCGGAGCUAAUACCGGAUAAUAUAUUGAACCGCAUGGUUCAAUAGAGAAAGACGGUUUUGCUGUCACUUAUAGAUGGAUCCGCGCCGCAUUAGCUAGUUGGUAAGGUAACGGCUUACCAAGGCAACGAUGCGUAGCCGACCUGAGAGGGUGAUCGGCCACACUGGAACUGAGACACGGUCCAGACUCCUACGGGAGGCAGCAGUAGGGAAUCUUCCGCAAUGGGCGAAAGCCUGACGGAGCAACGCCGCGUGAGUGAUGAAGGUCUUCGGAUCGUAAAACUCUGUUAUUAGGGAAGAACAAAUGUGUAAGUAACUAUGCACGUCUUGACGGUACCUAAUCAGAAAGCCACGGCUAACUACGUG
rnacentral:rRNA from 1 species